rnacentral:tRNA from 1 species
AUUCUGGUGGCCGAAUAAUUAAGCGGUAGAUUGUAAAUCUUCUAAUGGUAGUAUUACCCCAGAACU